rnacentral:rRNA from 1 species
GGUAGAAGCAUGGUUGUCGUCAACUCGGUGUCGACGGGAUGUGUGGGUUAAGUGCCGCAACGAGCGCAGCCCUUAAACUUAGUUGCCAGCAUUUAGUUGGGCACUAUAGGUUGACUGCCGGUGACAAACCGGAGGAAGGUGGGGAUGACGUCAAAUCAUCAUGCCCCUUAUGAUUUGGGCUACACACGUGCUACAAUGGACAAUACAAAGGGCAGCUAAACCGCGAGGUCAUGCAAAUCCCAUAAAGUUGUUCUCAGUUCGGAUUGUAGUCUGCAACUCGACUACAUGAAGCUGGAAUCGCUAGUAAUCGUAGAUCAGCAUGCUACGGUGAAUACGUUCCCGGGUCUUGUACACACCGCCCGUCACACCACGAGAGUUUGUAACACCCGAAGCCGGUGGAGUAACCAUUUAUGGAGCUAGCCGUCGAAGGUGGGACAAAUGAUUGGGGUG